GAUAGGUCGGGUGUGUAAGCGUAGCGAUACGUUGAGCUAACCGAUACUAAUGAACCGUGAGGCUUAACCUUACAACGCCGAAGGUGUUU
rnacentral:rRNA from 1 species